rnacentral:rRNA from 1 species
AUCCCUGGCUCAGGAUGAACGCUAGCUACAGGCUUAACACAUGCAAGUCGAGGGGCAUCGCGGGGUCUGCUUGCAGACCCUGGCGGCGACCGGCGGAUGGGUGAGUAACGCGUAUCCAACCUGCCCUGUCCCGGGGACAGCCCUUAGAAUGAGGAUUAACCCCCGAUGGCGCGGAUCAGCCGCAUGACUUAUCCGCCAAAUGUGAAGGACAGGGAUGGGGAUGCGUUCCAUUAGGUUGCAGGCGGGUAACGGCCCACCUGGCCGACGAUGGAUAGGGGUUCUGAGAGGAAGGUCCCCCACACUGGCACUGAGACACGGGCCAGACUCCUACGGGAGGCAGCAGUGAGGAAUAUUGGUCAAUGGCCGAGAGGCUGAACCAGCCAAGUAGCGUGCAGGACGACGGCCCUACGGGUUGUAAACUGCUUUUGCGGGAGGAUAAAGUGCGCCACGCGUGGCGCUUUGCAGGUAUCCCGUGAAUAAGGACCGGCUAAUUCCGUGCC